CUCUACCUUCUCCAUAUGGGCUUAUAAUAUAUUACUUUUAUUUUUUGGUGGUGAAAUGGACUGAUGAUUUUUUUCCUUUCUUCGCUGGACUAUUGUGCCAACUGCCAGGCUGACUCCUACCCUUGUAGCCCAAAGUGGCUGCUUUCAUCCGUGAAUUAUCAACAUCUUCCACUGAAGUUUAAUUGUCCUCUCCUCCCAGCCCCUACUUCCAGUUUUCCCCCAAGAAACCUGACUCAGUUAUUUGCAUAUCUUGAACCUGCUGCAGAUUAGCUCUUUUUGCCAGCCUUCCCUGGACCUCUUGGCCUUGUAUAGAGAGAGGGAGGGAGAGUGG
rnacentral:lncRNA from 1 species